rnacentral:misc_RNA from 1 species
GAGUUAGGAUCUGGGUUUGGGGUUGAAUUGGGUAGGGAUGAAGUUCGUGCCGAUGGACUUCGGGUUGCCAGUAUUGAUUCGGAGUCGGAUUCGUGUUCUGACGGUGAGAUUGUUGAUUUGGAUAGUUUUAUUGAUGAUCGCAUGGGAUUGGUGAAUUCUAAUGAGGAAUUUGAAUGGGGGGAAUUGGACCAAGCAACCAACGAAAGUGAAAAUCUGAUUAUGGCGAUUGAUAGCGUCGAGGAAUUAUCGCUAUCAUCAUCCAG